ensembl:lncRNA
GUGUGCCGUCUGAACUGGAUUUCAGUCUGAACUGAUGUCCGUGUGGGUCCUACAGAGAAUCAGAGUUGGAAAAGUUGUUAAUGUAGCAAAAAACAAAAUGUAUUGCAUUUUGUUCAUAAUCUCUUUAAAGUCAUGAUCGUUUUUUUUUUUACCGCUUUCACUGGAGUGGGUAAAUGAGUCUGCAAAGUUAAAAAAACUGAUUUACAUUUCUUGUUUAUUACUUUUAUUGGACAUCAUCCGAUCUCAUUUAUACACAUUUAAGAUAUAAAGUAGAAAAUAUCCUUUUGUUUGCAUUUGGAGACUCGGUAUUUGACCAUCCCAAAUAUCUGGACCAGGGAACCAACUCCUCAAACUGGUAAAAAGGUCAAUUACACAGUUACACGAUCGCUAAACUAACCUGUUUUUGAAUAAAAGAAAACCAUACAAGCAUGAGCCCUGGAAUCUCGGUUGUAAAAAAAAAAAAAAAAAAAAAAAGAAGCACUACACAUUACUUUUCUUAUGUUUAGCAUACAGGAGUUGCUGCUCACACCCUGAGUUGCACUAAUGUGUCUGUCAGAUGCCCCAAAUGGAAUGUCAGGCCGCAUGCGCACUCAUACCGGACACCUCCUGACCUUAUUUCCACGAGCCCUUGACUCAGCUGCAAAGUGCUUACGGGGUCAGUUUCCUUUUCAUCAGAAUUAUCUGCUGUCAUUCAGACAUAAGUUGAGCAAUGGUUUAACCAAUUUUCCAUCAAAGGGAUGUUGGAAUUAAACAGAGGAUGUAAGUUAAGGAAAUAUAAGUCUGACUAUGGAGCACAUCUCCUUCAGUGUUAACAAUAAUGGAUUGCAUUUCUCUCAGUCAACUGACUGUUUAGGGGGGAAAGCAGCUAAUAGUUAGUGGGCUCUGUGUUUGUGGUUGUUGUAUGUUAAUCACACUAGGAGUGAACAAAAGCAGAAAAAAACCCUGUAAAGAUGCAGACUGUGAAAGUCUGGUUUAUACCAUAAAUCUUACCAGCUGUAACUGGGUUUUUUGUGUUUUAAGUUAUAAGCACGUGUCAAG